ensembl:lncRNA
CCGCCCGCCCCCGCCCCCGCCCACUGUCUCCGCCCCCGCCCCUCCCCGCCUACUCCGGGCUGCCACCUCCCCUCCCUCUGCCUCCCACGAAGCCCAGCUCCCAGAGACCCCGGGGCCCAGACGGACUUCAGGGACAGACGCCGCCGACAGACGGACAGACACGCAGGGACAAACACGUUCGAAAGACCCGCAGCGGCGGAGCAGACAGCCACAGGGACAGACGGACGGACAGAAGCCCGGGGAGACAGACACGCGCAGACAGUCUCAUGCCGUGACAGCCAGAGACAAACGCAGCGGACCACUCCAGAGAGCCAGGAUAAGGGUGCAGGUGUCAGGAGAUCCACAGCGUCCUGGAGCAAGCCCUGGACGGGGUUCUCACUCAGAGUUCUGCCGACUGGUGGGGAGACCUCUGGAGGGACAACACUGCUCGUCUUGGCUUCAGUUUCCCCACGUCCAAAAUGGUGGAUUGGACUUGAAGGUAUGUCAGAAUCCCGGGGCCACUUACAGGCGCUGAUCCACCUGGUGUUGGGUGGAGUCCUUAAAUCUGCAUUUUUAGCAGGUCAUCAGGGCAGUCGCAGCACGAGGGUGGUCUGACAACCACAAGAGGAAAAAUGUGGGAUGAGGUGCCCCCAUAGUGGCACCAAACUGACCUCCUCGGGGUCAGCAGGCUGAGUAGGUCAGCAGGAAGUGCUCCGGGUAGUCAGCGGAUUCCAGACCUGACCCAGACACCUCUGGCCACCAGGGCAGAUGGAUAAAGAUUUGCGCUUAUUCUUAAAAGUGGGUAGAACUCCCGGAACAAUUCCCUUUUUUACCUUGAGCCUUUCUCUAACCUUUGUCAACAGGGACCUCACCUGUUGACCCAUAACACCUUCCCCUGUGUAGUCCAACAUAGUCACCUCCCCCGUGUGACCACACCUCCACAGCUGUCACUACAGAGAUGUUCUCAUCCAUUUCUUCCUUCUUCCUGUCUGCUUAUCCGGGAAUCCAUCUGGCUUCUGUCAUCAGUGCUGCCAAUUCUACAGCUCUUGCAUCUCUGUCUUCUACCUUUGCUAACACAGGGAACCCCUACUUCCACUGAAGUCCUCUGCCAGCAAAAAGGAUUCUCAUCUCUGUUGAUGUGUUAGGAUUCAGUUCAGCUAUGUGAGACAGAAAAUCAAACAAUAAUGGCUUGAAUUAAAUGUAAUGGAAAUAUAUUUCCCUCUGAGAUAAAAGGGACCCAGAAGUCAGCCAUGCAGGGUGGGCAGGAUGCCCUCGACGUCAGGGACCUGAUUCCUUUACAUAGAAUUUUCUUGCUUAAUCAUUUUCAAUAUGUAGCUUCCACUGCGUGGUGUAACAUGGCUGCUGGAGCAUCAGCCAUCACAUCUACAUUCCUACCAGCAGGAAGGAGGAAGGACUGAGGAAGGGUAUCCAUACUCCCUUUAAGGACACUUUUUGGGAAUCACAGACACACAGACUUCCAUUUAUAUCCCACUGGCCAGAACUUAAUCCUAAAGUCAGAACUGGCUGUACAGGAGGUUCAGAGAUGUAGUUUUUGUGCGGGAUGACUGUGCUCAUCUCAGACUUGGCUAUCCUAAUCCUGCGGAAGAAGAGGGAG